CUCCUCCCGGACAGGGCGGCUGGCCGGGCGGGGGGCUGACCUCCCUGCCUCCCUCCCGGAUGGGGCGUCUGGCCGGGCCAGGGGCUGACUCUCCCACCUCCCUCCCGGACGGGGCGGCUGGCCCGGCAGAGGGGCUCCUCUCUUCCCAGUAGGGGCAGCCGGGCAAAGGCGCCCCUCACCUCCCGGAUGGGGCGGCUGGCCGGGCGGGGGGCUGACCCCCCCACAUCCUUCCCGGAUGGGGCGGCUGGCCAGGCAGAGGGGCUCCUCACUUCCCAGUAGGGGCGGCCGGGCAGAGGCGCCCCUCACCUCCCCGACAGGGCAGCUGGCCGAGCGGGGGGCUGACCCCCCCACCUCCCUCCCGGACGGGCAGCUGGCCGGGCAGGGGGAUGACCCCCCCACCUCCCUCCUGGAUGGGGCGGCUGGCCGGGCGGGGGGCUAACCCCCCCACCUCCCUCCCAGACGGGGUGGCUGCCAGGCGGAGACGCUCCUCACUUCUCAGAGGGUGUGGCUGCCAGGCGGAGGGGCUCCUCACUUCUCAGACGGGGUGGUUGCCAGGCAGAGGGUCUCCUCACUUCUCAGACGGGGCGGCCAGGCAGAGACGCUCCUCACAUCCCAGACGGGGCGGCAGGGCAG
rnacentral:lncRNA from 1 species